rnacentral:lncRNA from 8 species
UGGGGGUGGGGGUAUUGGUCAUAUGUUCAUACAAACACACACACAGCCAGUAGUCUCUUUCUGUCAGACUCUAAAUAAGUCCUCUCUUCCUUAACAGAUCUUAUAGAUGUCUGCGACUUGCGGUCUGCGUGAAGUCCAGCUCUUUUCCUUAAACAUGUGGUCUUCUUGCACGGGAGGCAGAAGACCCUUGCUAUGGCUGCAGAGAUGCAAAGAGGAGAAGUUGCUUAUUGGACUUCUCCUUCAUCUCGCUGGUGGUAGCAUCUGCGGCUAUCUGGUUACCUGUGGUUACCUGUCAAAAGAUACUGUCAUCAGGAAUUUGCUUACAGAGUCUGAGAAGUUCUGCUGGCCCAUCUUGUCGAGGCCAGAUGUGAUGCGCUCACAGAGCAGACCAAAGUAUUCAGCCUCCCAGCCUGGAGAACCAUCGAGGGAGCUGUCAUAACUAGAGGUGAGACUAAAGCUAAAGCUCAUGCUGCUGAGAGAGUUUGUUGAGUCUGUAAUCCUUGGGGUGGAUCGUCCUUAGAGGUGGGCUCCUCAUCCGGGUUGUGGGCCCAAGAGUUAAUACAGGCUCAAAACAAAGUUGACAUUGAGUAAUGAACAAAUGUCUCCGAAGUUGUGCCUGAACUUCUACUGGCCUUUACCAAACCAGCAGAGUCAUAAUCAUAACGUAUCUAGGAUUCCAUCCUAGUUACCUCAAGGCUUUGUGUAAUGUCAAGAGGUUCCACUGGCCUUUGCCAAUCUAGCAGAGUUUACCUCAUACUCCUUGGGAGGGAUGGCUGAAUGUCCACAGGCCUUUGCCAAGCCAGUGGUGUCUUCAGCGUUCACCCCAAUGAUGUCCACUCUAAACCCUUGUUCCAGGAGCCUCUUAGUGGGGUCUACAUCACUUCCCACGGUGCAAGAGCUUCCACUUCCAAAGCUCUUCAUGCUAGCAUGGUCAAACAUACUCCCAGGGCAGGAUUACCUAAUGGUCACGCAGGGCACAUGCCCCGGGGCUCCGAUCCUUUUGGGUUGUGUUUCUUGCAGCCUCAUGGCAAAAUGUGUAGAAUAGCAGGAAAUUAGCUUUAAAACGGCAACAUUUUCUUUCAGCCUCAUGGCAAAAUGUAAACAAUAGCAUGAGAUGAGCUAUAACACAGCACAGUCAUCCUCUCUGACCAAUGGCAAAAAGUGUAGAAUUACAGGAAAUUAGCUUUAAAACUGCAACAUUUUCUAUUAACCUCAUGACAAAAUGUGUAAAAUAGCAUUAUAAAACCGCACAUUUUUUUCUACACAAAUUGUGUUGAAAUGCAAGUAGUUAGUUGUUUUCCCCCCCAAAAUUAUGUUUUCUUAAAACAAAACAAAAAUCGGUUUGAAGUUGAAGCCCCAGAAUUUCAGAUGGAGGUCGGUGCCUGGGGGCCCUGUAUGCGGUAGUCGGGCCCUUCAUGCUCCUGCAGCCAACAUGGUCAGAGAUGCCAUGACUUGAGCCAUGCUGUUGAUGGCAGACUCAUUUUUCUCAUUGAUUAUCUCACCUGGCUGGAUGGAAGGAAUAGUCUCCAAGUCUUCCUGUGUGGCCUCCUGUAGUGAAAUAGACAGAGAACAGCAAGAAGAGUGUUCCAAUCAGCGCUGGUCUCAUGCCAAAAGAUGUGGAAACCGAAGGCAGCGGCAUGCUGCUAAGAAGACGGGAGUGACUGCGAAAGGUUCGGAGCAGAUUGACAUAAGGAAUAGCUUCGCUGCACUGGUGCCUGAUCUACCUGCAUCGCUGGGACUGCCUGUGUCUGCGACGGCGGUGCUAACUCAACCUACGCUG